rnacentral:rRNA from 1 species
CUCCAGACUCCUACGGGAGGCAGCAGUGGGGAAUAUUGCACAAUGGGGGAAACCCUGAUGCAGCGACGCCGCGUGAGCGAUGAAGUAUUUCGGUAUGUAAAGCUCUAUCAGCAGGGAAGAAGAUGACGGUACCUGACUAAGAAGCCCCGGCUAACUACGUGCCAGCAGCCGCGGUAAUACGUAGGGGGCAAGCGUUAUCCGGAUUUACUGGGUGUAAAGGGAGCGUAGACGGCGAUGCAAGCCAGAUGUGAAAGCCCGGGGCUCAACCCCGGGACUGCAUUUGGAACUGUGUGGCUGGAGUGUCGGAGAGGCAGGCGGAAUUCCUAGUGUAGCGGUGAAAUGCGUAGAUAUUAGGAGGAACACCAGUGGCGAAGGCGGCCUGCUGGACGAUGACUGACGUUGAGGCUCGAAAGCGUGGGGAGCAAACAGGAUUAGAUACCCGAGUAAA